AGCCUCCUCCAAGGCGGCGGACCAGGCCGGGCCGGAGUUUUCGGGGUUCAGCCCGCGAGCGGGAGGACCGGGGAGGCGAGGGAGGAGGAAGGCGAGAAGGGCCAGAUCGCGGGAGAGCCCAAUCACGGGGCGAGCUGGACCUGGCUGUGAUCAUUUAUAAUCCUUGACUCCUCCGCUCCGCCACUUGUCAAGAUGACAGGGGUCAUCCGUGAAUAACACUUCACGCUGAUGAAUGGCUCUUGCCGGCUUUCGGCUCUGAUGAGGGGUCUGCCCGCCGCCGAUUGAAAACACUAAUGAACUUACUGCGCCAUUUGAAAUUCACACGCACCAACAAAAUGGGGGGUGGGCAUUUCAGGUCAGCUGAGUCACCCGAGGAGGUGGCAGUGCAAGACACUGCCGGGAAGACGGAUUCCGAGGCAGAAGGGUGUAAUUAAGGAUUUCCACCCCCGGUAGGCGGCCCGUCCUUUGCAGAGCCUCUGAAAAUGACCCGCGCCUUCCUUUCCACAGUGUUCUUUCGUCCGAGACCGAAAAGCGCAAAUGACCUUUGGACAGGGAAGGGAGGCAGUAAACACUCAGACUUCCUUACCAGCCCCUGGUGGGCACUGCAGCAGAACAAUUGUCUGCCCCCCAGGUUCAAGCACCUAGGCCUCCGCCCCGCAUCACCUGGCCAGGGGCGGACCCGGGAGUCCUCCGAAGGCUCCACUCCCCACUUUUACUACUCUUCUUUCCUCUCCAUUCUCCCCUCAGAUUAGCGGCCGGACACUGUCCCUGCCUCGAUUUUGUUUGCUGUGGGAGGGAAAAAAAAAGUUUGCUGCUCCUCCCAAGACACUGGCCACUUUCUACUCACUGAAGUUCCCACCGCAGCGCUGGCUCCCGGCUCCCUAGCUCCCGCCCCCUGUCUGCAGGAAAGCCCUCCCCCGGAGCUUCCGAAACUGCUGGAGGUUCCAGAGUUUUGUAGCUCCGAAUGGGCGACCUGAGCCGAACCGCUCUCUGGCUGGGUGGUCGGCGGGAUCCUUCAGGCUCCUUUCGGGUCCGGGACGGGGCGGCGGCAGAGGUGGGGCGUGCGUGCUUGGGGCUGCCGAGUGAGUGCGGCUCCCUGGUGCGCGCCCGAGCAUCUCCCCGCCCUCUCCUGGGACCAGCAGUCUGCCCGUGGAGGGCUAGGAGCCCGCGACCAGGCCUGCCCCGGCCGUCGCCAACCUGUCCUUGGAAGCGUGGCGGAGACUGGUGCGCUCUCAGCCUCGUCGCGCCAGCCGCCUCGCGCCACCCUCCACUUUCAGCUUCAGAGCAGAGGAUUCCGCCGACCUCCACCUGUACCUGUACUCGGCCGUUAGGAAAUCCACUUGCAUUUUUAACUACCGUGCAGAACCAGAAACAGAUCGAGCACUGGGAGAACAAGGACGACGCCUCCUAGGAAAGCCUGAACCUUUAUGUUAGUUUAUCCAAAGUUUGGGCUAGAAGUGAGGAGAAUCCCUAAACUCGAGGUGGUGUGCCCAGACCCACAGCCCGUGUUCCCGAAGUUGCUAAGUGCCCGAGCGCAGCGCGUUAAGUAGAGAAGUCUUGGUAGUAAGCGAACCCGACCCGGCUCUCGGGGCGCUAGUGACGGAAAGCAGCACGCAUAUCUUUGCGGGAAGAAUCUAGAGUCGCCCUGGGAUAGAUCCAUCUCCUUCUGCCACUGAAUUUCACACUUGAAAAAGAUAAGGUCAUGGGGGCGGAUGAAUGAUAUCCCUCACUCAUUUAGCCAUUCUUAUUAUUAUAUAAAAAAAAGGCUUGUCAAUUAUGAAGGUGUGUCCCAGAUAUUACAUGAAGAUCAUGCAAACUACUUGAAAUUUGAAUCCGGACAUGAUCGUAAGGAAACUCUUUCAUAAAGCACUUUUGUGGCCUAGUUCCCACACACACACAAAAGUAUUAGGUCUUUAAAACUUUUCCAAGUAGUAAGUGAGACUCCCUCUUACUGUCUACGAAUACACAAUAAAGAGAUGAGACACUGCCCCAAUCCUAAAGAGGCCAGAACUGAAGUGCUACAUUGUGUGAGUUAGGGGAUGCUUCUUUUUUCCAGCUCUUUUUUCUAGAAUCCUCAUUACAGCUAACGCUGGUAAUAAAGGUAGGAAAACAAUAGAACUCAUAAAACUUAGAAAUGGUAAUAAAUCUUGGCUCCUGUCUCUAGCCCAGUUCCUUCUUACAUGAGAUUCAAAGUUUUUCAGUAUGCAAUGCUGAACGUUCACACUAUGGUUGCAAAA
rnacentral:lncRNA from 1 species